GGAGAGUUGGCUGAGUGGUCGAAAGCACCUGCCUACUAAUCAGGCGUACCGUAAGGUACCGGGGGUUCGAAUCCCUCACUCUCCG
rnacentral:tRNA from 1 species